rnacentral:rRNA from 1 species
CCAACUCAGUACGAGAGGAACCGUUGGUUCACAUAAUUGGUUCAUGCGGUUGCCUGACAAGGCAAUGCCGCGAAGCUACCAUGUGCAGGAUAACGGCUGAACGCCUCUAAGCCAGAAUCCAUGCUGGAAAGCGACGACGUGCGACCGAGCGACCGUCAGAAUAGGCACCGCCGUAGACACGGGACAUCACAACUCGGAGCUCGGGUCCGGAGAUCGAUUGUAGACGACUUUCUGCAGAUGGGGUAUUGUACGCUGGAGAGUAGACUCGUGCUACGAUCCGUUGAGAUUCA